CCGGAAGUGUGGGGGUGGAAGCAUUGAAGGAGGAGAUCACAGCAGGAAAUGAAGCCAUAUCCUGUACACGCUGGCUACCACAUAUGAACCAUCAGAGAGAUGGAGGGCAAUGUCUGGAAGAAGGACGGGAAGAGGGAAUAUAAGAACAUUCAGUAUUAAUGGAUUCCAAACUCCGUGUGAUAACCAGCCGGUCCUGGACCAGUUUAUCAUCGCAGUGUGGACUGAUUCUCUUUUGCAGGAAGUUAGUUUUGACUUCACCAGCUGGAUUGGAGGGCACCUGUGGCAUACCUUGUCCUAUUGCUGUGGGGGACUUCGUCCAGCUUUUAGACAUGCAAGACUAAAUGUGAAUACCAUCUAUACCACAGCCUCAAGCCCUGGCCGUCACAGCAAGUUCCUGAUUCUCCUGCUGUGAAGCUGCUGUGAGAGUGAAAAGGCUGUGGGGCAUCUCCAGG
rnacentral:lncRNA from 1 species